rnacentral:lncRNA from 1 species
GACGAAUGAGUCUCUCAGUAAAGAUCUGAAGAAGCAAAAGCAUGUUGGAACAGAGUUAUUUUCACUUAGACUUAGCAUUACCCAAGAUUCUAAUAAACUUGAAAUAGCUAAUAUUGCUCACAAGUUUACUGAUGUUCUGAGAUUUUUCAUUUCCUGAUACUGUGUGAAUUAGAGAAUGAAUACAUCUGCUGAGUUCCCCCAACAAGAGCCUGUGUGUAGGCAAUGUGUCCUGCUAAUCUGACCAGAGGCCUUCAUUUAUUUCCUGUGUGACACAUGCUGUAUUUAUGAAAACCAUGAAUGGAAUCAGAUGACCCACAGACUUGAUGCAAGCAGAUGUUAGUGUAAUUCAAGCAGAAGCCAUCCUGAAGGAAAACGAGGACCCUGGACUCUUGAGAUAGGACCCUGGAAAUCCUGCUGGAGUUUUCUCAUCAUUCCUAAGCAUAUGUCCUUUGAAAGUGUGGCCAGUGCUUGGACUUGAAGAGGAAAAAGCAAAGGGCAAUGAAAUCGGAAUUGCAUGCCUGAGACAACAUGGGGUUUUGCCACAGAAUGAAAGAUGUUACCAAUUUAGCUUGCAGACCACUUCAAAGUCAAGAGGAAGAACAGAUGGGCCGGCAUUGGGAAAUUCUCCUACUUGCUUAAAUGAAGAUAACUCAUAAAAUAAUAAAGAUGGAAAAUUGAUUCA